GCCUUCGUGGUGUAACGAUUAGCACUCUCGGCGCGUAUUCGAGAGAUCAAGGUUCGAGUCCUGGAGAGGGCG
rnacentral:tRNA from 1 species